GGUUACGUGUUUGGUCGUAAUUUGUAUAAAUUCAAAAUGUAAACCAUUUCGUGAAACGCCAGCGUUUUAGAGAUGGGGCAACUGUGGUCCUCCGCUCGAUACUAUCGGUGAGGAGUGAAAUAACGCACUAACGCAUCACGCCAAAAAUCUUCAGUAGGGGGACUCGCAAUUAAAUUGGCGGCACAUUGGGAUACUUGGGAAUCAGCAACUCCAGUCGCAUAUGCCUGCGCACUUGGCACUCGAGAAAGUCCUGAACAUUCCUCAUUUCCGGCUGAUGGCAUUUCUCAGCAUCCGCCUUUUCAUACAUCUCACUACGUAGAUCCUUUAAAUAACGCCGUGGUUCUUCGAUUAGACGGUUCCUCUUCUUAAUAGCCA
ensembl:ncRNA asRNA:CR44653 antisense RNA:CR44653